AGAGUUUGAUCAUGGCUCAGGACGAACGCUGGCGGCGUGCCUAACACAUGCAAGUCGAACGAGAAUCUCCUGUGUGAUCCCUUCGGGGUGAACUUUGGAGAGGAAAGUGGCGGACGGGCGAGUAACGCGUGAGUAACCUGCCGAUAAGAGGGGGAUAAUCCUUGGAAACGAGGACUAAUACCGCAUAUUGUAACGAUAUCGCAUGAUAUUGUUAUGAAAGCUUUAGCGCUUAUUGAUGGACUCGCGUCAGAUUAGCUAGUUGGUGAGGUAACGGCUCACCAAGGCGACGAUCUGUAGCCGAACUGAGAGGUUGAUCGGCCGCAUUGGGACUGAGACACGGCCCAGACUCCUACGGGAGGCAGCAGUGGGGAAUAUUGCGCAAUGGGGGGAACCCUGACGCAGCAACGCCGCGUGCAGGAAGAAGGUCUUCGGAUUGUAAACUGUUGUCGCAAGGGAGGAAGACAGUGACGGUACCUUGUGAGAAAGUCACGGCUAACUACGUGCCAGCAGCCGCGGUAAUACGUAGGUGACAAGCGUUGUCCGGAUUUACUGGGUGUAAAGGGCGCGUAGGCGGACUGUCAAGUCAGUCGUGAAAUACCGGGGCUUAACCCCGGAGCUGCGAUUGAAACUGACAGCCUUGAGUAUCGGAGAGGAAAGCGGAAUUCCUAGUGUAGCGGUGAAAUGCGUAGAUAUUAGGAGGAACACCAGUGGCGAAGGCGGCUUUCUGGACGACAACUGACGCUGAGGCGCGAAAGUGUGGGGAGCAAACAGGAUUAGAUACCCUGGUAGUCCACACCGUAAACGAUGGAUACUAGGUGUAGGAGGUAUCGACCCCUUCUGUGCCGCAGUUAACACAAUAAGUAUCCCACCUGGGGAGUACGACCGCAAGGUUGAAACUCAAAGGAAUUGACGGGGGCCCGCACAAGCAGUGGAGUAUGUGGUUUAAUUCGAAGCAACGCGAAGAACCUUACCUGGGCUUGACAUCCCGACGACCGCUUUAGAGAUA
rnacentral:rRNA from 1 species